UGAGUCACAGCACCUGACCCUCCUAACUCAUUUAUGUGUGUUGUUACAGUUCCACACUAUAUGGCACAGGUGUGAAACUCAGCCCAUCCUCAAUUUCCAGGAAAAUUCAGCUUAUAUACGGCAAUUUGUGUGUUGUUAGACCUACCCACAGAUUUCUGUGGGAAGGAGCUAUCAGAAUAGGAGUUCAUAUCAGAGCAACCCUAACAGUUUUAAAUUGUACAUUACACAUCACUUUUCUUAAAAUGUCCUCUGGCUAUGCCAGCACUAAGGAAUUGUUAUUCACCACCCUACCACAAAUCUACUCAAAAUUGUCCUCAGCUUCACAGCAUCUGGCUGACUCCUCCCCAUAUUAUUCUUCUCUUGGAGAAAUAUAAUUUUCUCUUUUCUUCUCAUACAGAAGAGUUUUGCUAUUUUUUUUUGUCUGUUUCAUAGGCUCCUGCCAGUUCCCAAGGUCCUCACCUUCUACCUGAAGCUGAUCAUUAAGUCCCAGUUCUGCUCCCUGGGGCUGUUUAGGAGGAUGAUUACACUUGGAUGGCAGUCCUCCAACCCUCUUCCUAACAGGUGAGAUUUUCAGCAACAGCAUCAUUAAAUGAAAGAUAUUAUUGAAAUGCAGUGCUCCAAAUAAUGUGCUAUCCAGCCUCUUCUUUCUUUCCUUGCACCCUGUUCCUUUGCCCCACAUUCAGUGUGAAAACUCACAGACAUGAGCAGCCCCUGAUGACUUCUUUCUGUACCCUUGGAUCCAUUUGGAUCGGAGCACCUGGAUAGGAGCAGGAGCCAGAGGGAACCUCUUAGCUGCUGGCAGGAGGCUUGGAAGCCCAG
rnacentral:lncRNA from 1 species